AGAGUUUGAUCCUGGCUCAGAGCGAACGUUAGCGGCAGGCCUAACACAUGCAAGUCGCACGAGAAUCUGGCUUCGGCCAGUAGUAAAGUGGCGGACGGGUGAGUAACACGUGGAUAAUCUGCCCUUCGGCGGGGGACAACAGUCCGAAAGGAUUGCUAAUACCGCAUACGUCAGCGAGCUCUUCGGAGCUUGUUGGGAAA
rnacentral:rRNA from 1 species